CCCUGAACCCGAUCUCGUGCUUCGAUCUGUCCAUCUGGGCUUUAGGGUUUGUGGAUUGGGAGGCACGAGUGAAUUUUGGUGUGGCGUGGGCUAAAAUAUGGGUGACAAGGCUGGAUUCGUAGCAGGAUUUGGUGCUGCCACUGGUUCUUUUAGCUAGGGUUUGGUGCGUGGAGGAUUGUGUCGAAAAUUAUGGGGGAAAUACCUUUACAUUCUAUAUGUUUUAUACGUUUUUCGUUAAUGGCUAGUUAGUUCAGCGUCCUCUUUGUGAACGGGAAUGCUUAACUGGCUUGCUACUGUGGUAUGGUCUUUUGUUCAUCAAUUUGCUUACUUAAUAAUGCUGAGCACACUGGGUUGCAUGUGGUUCAUUCUUCAUUCUUCCUAGCCCUAGUUUUAUGUCCUAUGUUUGCUCUUUCAUUCAGAUGACUAGGUCAUCAUAGAAUAAUAUUUUAGAUUCUGCUUUCUGCACAAGUAGGGUAACCUUCGUUGCUAAACAAACUUCUGGUUUUGGCAGAUGAGCAUUUCAUUAGCAUAUCAUUGUAGGUAAGGGAGAUGUAGGCUUGACAUUUAGGUUUACUUUUAUAUUGAGUAAAAUACAUUUCCGGUCCUUGUCGUGCUAUGUCAUCUCGGUCCAUAAACUUUCAAAGUGUGUCUCUUAAAGCCUUAAUCGUUGUUUGGGUCUCAGUUAGGUCCAAACGGGUUGUGGUUUUACCAUACAGCCUAGCACUGGCAUAUGGACCCCACAUGUCAACCUAUGUAUCUCUUUUCUCUGUUUUCUCUCACCUUCCCGCAUCUUGCUCAUGUCGUCGCGCGCCACACCGUGUGCCUCCGUCCCGACAACACCGAGGCUUGGGAGCGCUGCGGAUGCAGCUUACUUGCACUCUGGAAGCCAGCCGCACACGACGCAGCCGGCUUGGGCGCCGCCUUGCGGUGGACGGGCAGCCACGCUUGCCUUGGUGGGGGAAGGUGCCGCUGGAAGCGUGAGCGGUGGCUGGCGGCGCAGGGGGCACCAGCUGGUACGGGAACGCCUUCGGCGAGAUGGGUGGGAUGGUGACCGCGAGCGUCGCCAACUGCGUGUCAUUGGUGCAGAAGAACAGCAAUUAGACCGUAAUGGUGUGGAAGAACAGCUGUCUACGGAGGCCAGGGAAGGCACGGCAGAUUCAGCUGCCUUACUGUUCUCAUUCUCAGUAUUUUCCUCUUUCUCUUCAUCAACAAUUACAUGGGAGGCUGCUUCAUCAACAAAUGCAGGGGAAGCUAAUUCGGAUUCACCUGGCUUUACUUCUCCUUUAUUCUCAGAUUCUGGGACAGCAACAUUAUUAAGCUGUGCUUGGCCUUUGGUGCUUUCUUCAGUAUUCUCUACAGCAGGGGGCUCCUCUUUCUUAUCUUCACCUCCCUCAGUAUUUUCUGCAGCAUGUGCACUUGGGUUAGGACUGCCAAAUGGUUUGUUGGGGGUGUGAUUCCAGCUAUGCUUACCUUACGGCGUCCAUUCUCUUGACAUGCAGCUAGUGGGUUAAAGCAACAUAAUGCUUCCGUGCAUUUAAUCUAUGCAUAGGGCUGACAAAUGUGUACUAGCAUCUUCUGGCUUUCAGGGUGAUAUUAAAGCUCUGCACAAGAACCUAGCUGCCAGAGAAUUGCUAUACCAACACCAGCAUAACAAAAGGAUGAGCUGCCCUGCCAUGGCACAGCUCCUCUCCAAUACCCUGUACUACAAGCGCUUCUUCCCAUAUUACGCCUUCAAUGUGCUCGGUGGGCUUGACAGCGAGGGGAAAGGGUGUGUUUUCACCUAUGAUGCAGUAGGUUCCUAUGAGAGAACUGGUUAUAGUGCUCAGGGAACGGGAUCUACUUUGAUUAUGCCAGUCCUGGACAAUCAACUAAAAUCACCAAGUCCUCUAUUGCUCCCUGCCAGGGAUGCUGUCACACCAUUGUCGGAGUCAGAGGCCAUCGAUCUAGUUAAGGAUGUGUUUGCAUCUGCAACUGAGAGAGACAUCUACACUGGAGACAAGUUGGAAAUUGUAGUCAUCAACAAAGUCGGGACUAAGCGCGAGUACAUCGACCUGAGGAAGGACUAAGCCAACGCUUCAGUUGUGCUGCAGCUGUCAUUUGCUUCGGACAUGUUUCCUAGUCUGGGGAUUUAUGUCUAAAGCCGUUGCUUGCAUAGAAACAUAUGUUAUUACUUGCAUAUGUCCUGUACCAGGGUUCAGUCAGCUUGUUUUUUUUUUGUUGAAACAAAUUGCUUGGAUAUUGAAGCGGUACUUACUGGCGGAAAGUCUAUAUUUGGUUGGGAGCUUAACAUUAAUGGCCUCAUCCGAAAUGUCACAAUCACAAGUCUCUUUAUAUCUCUUCUACUCAUUCGGAUUCGAA